AUGCUUUCUGCAGGCGGACCUGCAAGACUUGCAAUAUUUGCAUUUAACAUGUAUUUAAACUUACCUGUGUGCACGUGCUCGAGUAACUGUUAUGGCACAUGACUUGCAGUAAAAACUAAAAAAGAAAUUAAAUGCGAUGAUGCAUUAUUAUGGUGCUAGUUGGAGCGGGUUGACUAGGCCGCACCGGCCUGGACAUGUGGAGAUCCAUGCGGUGUUUCUGAGGUGAUUGCACGUCUACACGUGGACAGAGGUGAUGGAGGCCUCCAUGACUUUAUGACAGAAUCUGACUGGCAAGUGGUGGCCAAAGAAAUGGACAAGCAACUGUAAAUUACAAAGUGACACCAGGACGCCUAAAUUAACUUUUUGAUUGUCCAAUAUAUGUUUUUUUUUUUUU